rnacentral:tRNA from 1 species
GGGGUUGUGGCUCAGCGGUAGAGCACUCACCUAGUAUGUGCGCACCCUGGGUUCGAUCCUCAGCACCA